GACCGCGUAGCUCAGUCAGCAGAGCAUUGGGCUAGUAUUCCAAAGGUCGUAGGUUCGAUUCCCACCGUGGCCG
rnacentral:tRNA from 1 species